UUUUCUUGUUCCCAGGAGGUGAUCAGAGUUAGGAAUUACACUUACUGACCUGGACCUCGCGUUUUUGCGGAGACGCGGAAACAAGAUGUGUGCAGUCCGUCUGUCCAAUGAUUAGCCAGCCGACCUGGAGAGGGCCCUGGAAGGUGCCCAAAGGCAAGUCCGGUUCCGUCCCUCCUAGGGUCCAGGACAGCCCGCGCCGCGCGGGCCGGCAGCCGGAGCAGUCAGAGCGGCUGGGCGGUUGGCGCUGCCGGGUCUGCUGCCGACCUCUCAGGCCAAGCGCGCCUGGGCACCGCACUCACUCGCGGGGUGGGCGGGUGAAGUUCCGCAAGAGAUGGCCCGGCGAAGACAGACCUCCUGGACUUGAGGCCGACUUCACCAAAUCCGCCCCGGGAAAAGGCGAGGGCAAAGGCGGGGCGGACAGACCCAGCUGCGGCUGA
ensembl:lincRNA